UUCAAUUGAAAACCAACACACACACAUACAGACACACACACACACAAAGCAUAUUUGAGAAUUUUAAAAACAAACAGUUGGGCCAAACUAAAAUUAACAACAUUCCCCACGGACACAGUUUUGAGUCAUUUGAAAACCCACUUGGAUCAGGAAUCACAGACAAAAGCUAAAAAACUCUGUUUGGGAUAACGAAUUUUGCAUUAAAAAUCAGCUAAAACUUAAUAAACAUUUGGGAUAUUUCUUUCGGGAAAACUUAAGAACACAACAAUUGUGGAAAACAGACGUGUCCCGAGUCUCGAGCUGGAACGUGGAUUAGCCAAACGACGAACGACUGAAUCGUUAAACCUAAAUCAGACUGAGAUAUAUUUCAAAAGAUAAUCAAAAUGCUGACAUGAAAACUGACUCCGUUUUUAGCCGGAGUAAACAUAAUUUCUAUACAAGGUUCCAUUGCGAGA
rnacentral:sRNA from 1 species